UACGAAGGACCCGAGCGUUAUCCGGAUUUAUUGGGUUUAAAGGGUGCGUAGGCGGAUUGUUAAGUCAGUGGUGAAAGCCCGUCGCUUAACGGCGGAACUGCCAUUGAUACUGUCAGUCUUGAGUAUGGUUGAGGUGGGCGGAAUGUGUCAUGUAGCGGUGAAAUGCUUAGAUAUGACACAGAACACCAAUUGCGAAGGCAGCUCGCUAAACCAUAACUGACGCUGAUGCACGAAAGCGUGGGGAGCAAACAGG
rnacentral:rRNA from 1 species